rnacentral:misc_RNA from 1 species
GAUGAAGAACGUAGCGAAAUGCGAUAAGUAAUGUGAAUUGCAGAUUUUCAGUGAAUCAUCGAAUCUUUGAACGCACCUUGCGCUCCCUGGUAUUCCGGGGAGCAUGCCUGUUUGAGUGUCAUUAAAUUCUCAACCCCGAUCGGAUUUGUUUUCGCAUUCGGAGGCUUGGAUAGUGGAGCGUGCUGGCCCCCUCUCAUGGGUCGGCUCCUCUCAAAUGCAUUCGCGGAAUCGACUUUGGUCCAUUUCGGUCAUCAGUGUGAUAAACGUUGCGCUGUUGGCUAGGAUCGAGGUGCCGCAUACAAUGGUCUUCGGACAAUUUUAUAAACCAUUUGACCUCAAAUCAGGUAGGACUACCCGCUGAACUUAAGCAUAUCAAUAAGCGGAGGA